rnacentral:lncRNA from 1 species
CAAUUACAGAACAGGGUUUCGGGUGCUUUACAGUGUCCAUUGUACUUUCACAACCACUGUCACACUUAGGUUCGUUCCACAGUUACUCUGUAAGUUUGCCCUGCAAGUCACUCCAUGGCAAGCACUUUCUGUCUCUAACAGCUGAGAAAAUGGACUCGGAGAAAUUAAGACACAGAACUAAGUAGAGAGGACCGGGGAGGCUCCAAGAAGAGGCAUCCCGCUCCCUCUGCAGCCGCAGAAACGCCUCCAGGACGCCUUCUCUGGCGCUGAGCCUCGAGGGGGAAAUUUGGACACAAAGACAGACAUGAGCACAGGGAGAACUCCACGUAAAGAGUGAAGCAGAGAUCGGGAUGAUGGCAAGGAACACCAAAGGUUGCCAGCAAACCACCAGAAGCUAGGAAAGAGGCAUGGAACAGAUUCGCCCUCCCAGCUCUCUAAAGGAAGCAGCCCUGCUGACGCUUCGAUCUCAGACUUCUGCCCUCCAGAACUGUGAGACAAUAAAUCUCUGUUGCUUAAGCCAUCCAGUUCGGAGUUCUUUGUUACAGCAGCCCUAGCCAACUGAUACAGCAUACUUAUAAGAAAUGAAAGACUAUGACGACCUCAAAGGAUUUUCACAAUCGUUCGCACCUCAAAGAAAGUGUUUUAAUCCCACUUUGUUGUCACAACCAAAAGAAAGGCUUUUUUGGUCUACACAGCCUGAGCAGCAGGCAGAAGAAGCUCUGGAGGCUGCCGAACAGGGAGGACCUGGAGAAGCAGGGCGAGGAGUGGCUGUUUCUAUGAUGCUGGCAGUGACUAUCUCCUAUCCUCCAUCCAAUCAGAGGAAACCAACUUUAUUAACAGCGCGUCUCCUACGAGCACCUUCAAUAAUAAUUUUGGCUUAUAGUCAGUGAUGUUGUAGCAAAUGUAAGGUAAAUACAUGUACAAUAAAUUGGUCUUCAAAAAAGAAAACUG